ensembl:rRNA 5S_rRNA 5S ribosomal RNA
AUCUACAGCCAUAACACCCUGAAUAUGCCUGAUCUUGUCUGAUCUCUGAAGCUAAGCAGGGUUGGGCCUGGUUAGUAUUUGGAUGGGAGACAGACUGAGAAUACCCAGUGCUGUAGGCU